UACUGAUUGAGAUUUUAACACGAAGUGAGUGGCGAACGGGUGAGUAACACGUGGGUAACCUGCCCAGAAGUAGGGGAUAACACCUGGAAACAGAUGCUAAUACCGUAUAACAGAGAAAACCGCAUGGUUUUCUUUUAAAAGAUGGCUCUGCUAUCACUUCUGGAUGGACCCGCGGCGUAUUAGCUAGUUGGUGAGGUAAAGGCUCACCAAGGCAGUGAUACGUAGCCGACCUGAGAGGGUAAUCGGCCACAUUGGGACUGAGACACGGCCCAGACUCCUACGGGAGGCAGCAGUAGGGAAUCUUCCACAAUGGACGCAAGUCUGAUGGAGCAACGCCGCGUGAGUGAAGAAGGGUUUCGGCUCGUAAAGCUCUGUUGUUAAAGAAGAACGUGGGUAAGAGUAACUGUUUACCCAGUGACGGUAUUUAACCAGAAAGCCACGGCUAACUACGUGCCAGCAGCCGCGGUAAUACGUAGGUGGCAAGCGUUAUCCGGAUUUAUUGGGCGUAAAGCGAGCGCAGGCGGUCUUUUAAGUCUAAUGUGAAAGCCUUCGGCUCAACCGAAGAAGUGCAUUGGAAACUGGGAGACUUGAGUGCAGAAGAGGACAGUGGAACUCCAUGUGUAGCGGUGAAAUGCGUAGAUAUAUGGAAGAACACCAGUGGCGAAGGCGGCUGUCUGGUCUGCAACUGACGCUGAGGCUCGAAAGCAUGGGUAGCGAACAGGAUUAGAUACCCUGGUAGUCCAUGCCGUAAACGAUGAUUACUAAGUGUUGGAGGGUUUCCGCCCUUCAGUGCUGCAGCUAACGCAUUAAGUAAUCCGCCUGGGGAGUACGACCGCAAGGUUGAAACUCAAAAGAAUUGACGGGGGCCCGCACAAGCGGUGGAGCAUGUGGUUUAAUUCGAAGCUACGCGAAGAACCUUACCAGGUCUUGACAUCUUCUGACAGUCUAAGAGAUUAGAGGUUCCCUUCGGGGACAGAAUGACAGGUGGUGCAUGGUUGUCGUCAGCUCGUGUCGUGAGAUGUUGGGUUAAGUCCCGCAACGAGCGCAACCCUUAUUACUAGUUGCCAGCAUUAAGUUGGGCACUCUAGUGAGACUGCCGGUGACAAACCGGAGGAAGGUGGGGACGACGUCAAAUCAUCAUGCCCCUUAUGACCUGGGCUACACACGUGCUACAAUGGAUGGUACAACGAGUCGCGAGACCGCGAGGUUAAGCUAAUCUCUUAAAACCAUUCUCAGUUCGGACUGUAGGCUGCAACUCGCCUACACGAAGUCGGAAUCGCUAGUAAUCGCGGAUCAGCAUGCCGCGGUGAAUACGUUCCCGGGCCUUGUACACACCGCCCGUCACACCAUGAGA
rnacentral:rRNA from 1 species